rnacentral:misc_RNA from 1 species
GAUGAAGAACGCAGCGAAAUGCGAUAAGUAAUGUGAAUUGCAGAAUUCAGUGAAUCAUCGAAUCUUUGAACGCACCUUGCGCUCCUUGGUAUUCCGAGGAGCAUGCCUGUUUGAGUGUCAUGAAAUUCUCAACCUUUUCAGCUUUCUUUGUCGAUCAGGCUUGGAUGUGGGAGUAUGCGGGCUUCUCAGAAGUCGGCUCUCCUGAAAUGCAUUAGCGGGACCUUUGUUGCCUGGCUUUGGUGUGAUAAUUAUCUACGCCAUUGUAGUCAAGCAGCUUAAAAUGAGGUUUCAGCUUCUAACCGUCUCCCCUGAGACAACUUUUUGACAAUUUGACCUCAAAUCAGGUAGGACUACCCGCUGAACUUAAGCAUAUCAAUAAGCGGAGGA